rnacentral:lncRNA from 1 species
CUUUCCUGCUGCCUUGUGAAGAAGGUGCUUGUUUCUUCUUUGCCUUCUGCCAUGAUUGCCAUGUGAAUCGCACCCCUGGAACUGUGCAGGGCCCACCUGUGUGGCCACACGCAGUGACCCUGAGCAAAGGAGUGACCACAGAAGUGCAUGGCAAAGCAGAAAGGUGUGACGUCUUGGAGGACGCGGGAGGAAAGCACGCCCAGCGGACAGGAGCCAUCACGCGGCUGCGGGCUGCUGCUGAGAACCUGGCGUGGGCCACCGUCGUCAGCAGCGUGGAGGUAACUGACGACCUUGGCCAAGAAGUUGGGUGGCAGCGUGGAGGUCAUGCUCAGACGGCUGGAUGGCAGAGGUGAUAAAGCUGGGAAGAGAGGCAUCCUGGAAGGGCCCGUGUUAUGAAAACCCAGAGUUUCACUCAGAUCGACAGCUGCGUGGGGGCCGGCGCUCCCGGCAGUGAUUGAGUUACCCUCAGCAGCGGGGUCCCGAGGUCGCAAUCCCUGCUGGGGGAGUGAUUGAUGCCGGACUCCAGGGCCCACCUUGGGUGACCCUGGGAUGUCAAUGAGUGACCGCUGAUUCUGGGCCACUUGGUUCUGGGCCACCCGCAUGUCCAGAGACCUCAAGGUGGGCCGACGUCCAACCAGCGAAGCAGAGCAAUCCUUUUGGAAGCUUCUCUCCACGGGGGGCUGGCUGCUCCUUCAUCACUCCCAUCUGAGGGCUUCUGCUUGCAGCCGUCUGUCACGCUGAGCAGCUCUGUGGUGGAUUCUGUGCUGCUUGCUCUGUGUCUAUUUUGUCAAGAUCGCCAGUCUCUCUGGAUUCUCUCCUCUGGGUUGGCCCACGCUCACUCAUCCGGCUUUGGAAGGACAUUUAUCCUCUAGCUUCCUCCAGGAGGGGGAUUUGUCUUAGAGAGUGGCACUUUCUCUUCCCUCCCCAGCCCCUCGUGCACCUUCUGCAGGGAGGGGAGUCCCCUGGUGCUGAGAGGAGAGGUAGGAGAGCCAGGUAGGGCCUGUGGGAGCCCAGCAGAGGUGCCCUGGCCACCUUGAGUGUCUGAGACUCACGGUCUAUUAAAAAUGGAAAAACAAACUGGGCACCGUGGCUCCUACCUGUAAUUCCAGCACUUUGGGAGGCUGAGGCGGGUGGAUCACUUGAGGUCAGGAGUUCAAGACCAGCCUGACCAAUGUGGUGAAACCUUGUCUCUACUAAAAAUACAAAAGUUAGCUGGGUUUGGUGGUACACACCUGUAAUCCCAGCUACUUGGGAGGCAGAGGCAGGAGAAUCGCUUGGACCUGGAAGGUGGAAGUUGCAGUGAGCAGAGAUUGUGCCACUGCACUCCAGCCUGGGUGACAGAGUGAGACUCUUGUCUCAAAAAAAAAAAACAAACAGAAAAAGAAAAAAGAAAAAAAGGAAAAACAACAAAGUUAGCGCUGAGCAGGGUUUCAGGAUUCUAGACCUGGUUUAAAAUGCAUUGCAUGGAAUAACCUGUUUAAUCUGCAAGUUAACUCUCUGAUACAGCGAGUGGUAUUAUCACAAUUUUGACAAGAUAAAGGCACAAAACAAGAUUUAAGAUUUUUUUUUUAAAAAAGGACAGACACCCAUUAAUUCUAAAUAAUUAAAGAUCAAUUCAUUAUGUACACAUACCGUUGACCCCUGAACAGCGUGGGUUUGUACUGGCUGGGUCCGUUUAUAUGUGGAUUUUCCUCUGCCUCUGCCACCCCUGAGACAGCAAGACCAACCCCUCCUCUUCCUUUUCCUCCUCCUCAGGUUCCUCAAUGUGAAGACGACAACGAUGAAGAUCUUUAUGGCUGGGUUCAGUUUUGGUGUCUCAACACCCGUAAUCUUAGCACUUUGGGAGGCCAAGGUGGAUGGAUGGCUUGAGCCCAAGAGUUUGAGACCAGCUUGAGCAAUGUAGUGAAACCCUAUCUCUACAAAAAACUAGCAGGGCGUGUGCCUGUAGUCCCAGUUACUCGGGAGGCUGAGGUGGGAGGACCUGAGCCCAGGGAGAUUGAGGCUGCAGUGAGCCCUGAUUGCGCCACUGCACUCCAGCCUGGGAGUGCGGUCUCAAAGAAAACCCAGUCUCAAGAAACAAAACAAAACAACCCAAAAAAGAUCUUAAGAUGAUCCACUUCUGCUUAAUGAUCAGUGAAUAUUUUUCCUUAUGAUUUUCUUAAUAACAUUUUCUUUUCUCUAGCUUACUUUAUUGUAAGAAUAUAGUAUAUACUUAUAAAACAGAUAAAAUUUGUGUUAACUGACUGUUUAUGGUAUUGGUAAGGCUUCCGGUCAACAGUAGGCUGUUAGUAAUUAAGUUUUGGGGGAGUCAAAAGUGUAAAGCAAUACACUUUAUGGGGGCAGAGCUCCUAACCCCAGUGCUGUUCAAGGGUCAAUCUAAUUGAACAGCCUCUAAAAAUAUCAAGCAAUACUUACAAAUCCAGGGAGAAAAACAUACAUCAACAAUUGUAGUUGGAGCUUUUAAUGAUCGAACAGAGAAAACAGAUACUGAAGUCUUGAUCAAUACAAUGAGUAAGCUGAAGAUAUGAGAUAUGUAGAGAACUUACCAUUCAUCAGACAGAGGCUAUGCCUUUCCCCCAUGCACGCACACACCAUUUACCAAAAUAGGCCAGACACUGAGCCAUGAAGGAAGUCUCAAUAAAGUUCUAAUAAUUAAUACAAAAUAAACUGCAUUCUCUAAUCACAAAUCAAUGACAUUAAAAUUAACAAAACAAUUUUUUUUAACAACUCCAAUAUUUUGGAAAGUAAUUAAUAUAUUUAUGGAUAGCCCUUGGAAAUGAUCAAGGAAAUUAGGAAGUACAUAGAGUGUAACACGGUGAAACCCCGUCUCUACUAAAAAUACAAAAAAAUUAACUGGGCGUGGUGGUG